rnacentral:lncRNA from 1 species
GUAUUUGUACCCAAUUAUAAAAUACGGUUAAUUUUAUACAGAUCUCUACAAACAUAGUGAAUGACAAAUAUAAUCGUACAAAGUUUAAUUUUCAUAUGUUAUCUCUACAAAAGUUCUAAUAUUUUCAAAUAUAUUCCUCUAAUUUGUUAGGUUAGAUAAUUAUCAGAGAACUGUUUAUAUUUUCAAUUUUGUCAUCACAAAUAUAUCCUUCAAAAGCCAUAAAAGUAUAAUGUAAGAUGGAUAAAAAUAUCAAAAACUAACCAGGGUUAAAUCUAAAAUUUUCUAAUGGAUUGUACCGGCAGAAACAUAUUUAAAAUCAUCAUAACUUUUGCAGGGACAAUACAUGAAAGUUGAACUUUAUAGAAAUAUAUUUAUUAUUCGCUAUAUUUGUAGGAAUCUGUAUGAAAUUAAUCUAACUAUCCCUAGAGUAAAUGGCAAAAGACUUGAUGGUUGGUAUCUGAGAUCCCAAAUUCGAAUUAUAGUUAAUUCAUAUUUUAAAUUUUAUUCAUAAAUGAAAUAAACGAAGCAGAUAGCGUACUACUUAUCUCUCUCUCUCAAA